CCCACUCACUGAAUCUUACCUGCGUCUCUUCCCCUGUAUUCUUGGUGUUUCUGCUUUUUUGUCAUGGAUUUUGUUGAUUUUUUACUUGGACUUUGUUUAAAAUAUCUUCACCGUCCACCCGGUGGAUUGAGCUCUACGUUUCUGACAGCUUCACUUUGCUCUUUGUUUGAAGCAUUGUAGCAUUAUUUUUUGCAGUGAAUUGAUUUUCUGUGGACCGAACUCUGCAUCUAGUAAAGAUUUCUGAGUGUAUUCCUGUGUCUUCAGUCUGUUGGCUGAUAAAAUUAGCUUUCAGUCUU